UUCCUACGGGGCGCAGCAGUGAGGAAUAUUGGUCAAUGGGCGCGAGCCUGAACCAGCCAAGUCGCGUGAGGGAUGACGGCCCUACGGGUUGUAAACCUCUUUUGCCGGGGAGCAACGGGCGCCACGUGUGGCGCCACUGAGAGUACCCGGAGAAAAAGCAUCGGCUAACUCCGUGCCAGCAGCCGCGGUAAUACGGAGGAUGCGAGCGUUAUCCGGAUUUAUUGGGUUUAAAGGGUGCGUAGGCGGGACGGUAAGUCAGCGGUGAAAAUGCGGAGCUCAACUCCGUCGAGCCGUUGAAACUGCCG
rnacentral:rRNA from 1 species